GACGAACGCUGGCGGCGUGCUUAACACAUGCGAGUCGAACGAAGAGCGACGGAAGCUUGCUUCUAUCAAUCUUAGUGGCGAACGGGUGAGUAACGCGUAAUCAACCUGCCCUUCAGAGGGGGACAACAGUUGGAAACGACUGCUAAUACCGCAUACGAUCUAACCUCGGCAUCGAGGAUAGAUGAAAGGUGGCCUCUACAUGUAAGCUAUCACUGAAGGAGGGGAUUGCGUCUGAUUAGCUAGUUGGAGGGGUAACGGCCCACCAAGGCGAUGAUCAGUAGCCGGUCUGAGAGGAUGAACGGCCACAUUGGGACUGAGACACGGCCCAGACUCCUACGGGAGGCAGCAGUGGGGAACCUUCCGCAAUGGACGAAAGUCUGACGGAGCAACGCCGCGUGAGUGAUGACGGCCUUCGGGUUGUAAAGCUCUGUUAAUCGGGACGAAAGGCCUUCUUGCGAAUAGUGAGAAGGAUUGACGGUACCGGAAUAGAAAGCCACGGCUAACUACGUG
rnacentral:rRNA from 1 species